rnacentral:rRNA from 1 species
GACGAACGCUGGCGGCGUGCCUAAUACAUGCAAGUCGAGCGAAGCGGCGGAUGGGUGAGUAACGCGUGGGUAACCUGCCCUUAAGCCUGGGAUACCAUUUGGAAACAGAUGCUCAUACCGGAUACUAAAGUACGGACUUGCGUUGCAUUAGAUAGUUGGUACGGUAACGGCUUACCUAGACGAGGAUGCAUAGCCGGGUUGAGAGACUGAUCGGCCACAUUGGGACUGAGACACGGCCCAAACUCCUACGGGAGGCAGCAGUAGGGAAUCUUCCACAAUGGACGAAAGUCUGAUGGAGCCACGCCGCGUGAGUGAAGAAGGUUUUCGGAUCGUAAAGUUCUGUUGUUGGUGAAGCGUUAAUCAACCAGAAAGUCACGGCUAACUACGUGCCAGCAGCCGCGGUAAUUC